GAUUGAUUUAAAGGGCCGCGGUAAUUUGACCGUGCGAAGGUAGCAUAGUCAGUAGUCUUUUAAUUGAAGGCUUGAAUGAAAGGUUGGACGAGGGAUGAGCUGUCUCCUUUACGUAAUUUGAAUUUAACUUUUGAGUGAAAAGGCUUAAAUUAUUUAGUGGGACGAUAAGACCCUAUAAAACUUUAUAUAAGUUUAAUUUGGCUUACAAUUUGAGUGAAAAGUAGCUUUAUUAGGUUUAUAUUUCGUUGGGGAGAUGUAGAUAUAAUGUGUAACUGUCUGUUUAAUUUAAUAAUUAUAAUUAGUGUGUGAUCCUUCUUUGUGGAUUAAAAGUGUAAGUUACUUUAGGGAUAACAGCGUGAUUUUCUUUGAGAGUUCUUAUCGACAAGAGUAGUUGCGACCUCGAUGUUGAAUUAAAAUUUCGGUUAGGUGUAGCCGUCUAGCUGGUAGGUCUGUUCGACCUUUAAAAUUUUACAUGAUUUGAGUUCAAACCGGUGUGAGCCAGG
rnacentral:rRNA from 1 species